rnacentral:rRNA from 1 species
CGCAAGGUUGAAACUCAAAGGAAUUGACGGGGACCCGCACAAGCGGUGGGUGAUGUGGUUUAAUUCGAUGCAACGCGAAAAACCUUACCCACCUUUGACAUGUACGGAAUCCUUUAGAGAUAGAGGAGUGCUCGAAAGAGAGCCGUAACACGGGUGCUGCAUGGCUGUCGUUAGCUCGUGUCGUGAGAUGUUGGGUUAAGUCCCGCAACGAGCGCAACCCUUGUCAUUAGUUGCUACAUUUAGUUGGGCACUCUAAUGAGACUGCCGGUGACAAGCCGGAGGAAGGUGGGGAUGACGUCAAGUCCCCAUGGCCCUUAUAGGUGGGGCUACACACGUCAUACAAUGGCUGGUACAAAGGGUUGCCAACCCGCGAGGGGGAGCUAAUCCCACAAAGCCAGUCGUAGUCCGGAUCGUAGUCUGCAACUCGACUACGUGAAGUCGGAAUCGCUAGUAAUCGUGGAUCAGAAUGUCACGGUGAAUACGUUCCCGGGUCUUGUACACACCGCCCGUCACACCAUGGGAGCGGGUUCUGCCAGAAGUAGUUAGCCUAACCGCAAGGAGGGCGAUUACCACGGCAGGGUUCGUGACUGGGGUGAAGUCGUAACAAGGUAGCCGU